CCAGUAGUUAGCCGGUGCUUAUUCUUACGGUACCGUCAUGGGCCCCCUGUAUUAGAAGGAGCUUUUUCGUUCCGUACAAAAGCAGUUUACAACCCGAAGGCCUUCAUCCUGCACGCGGCAUUGCUGGAUCAGGCUUUCGCCCAUUGUCCAAAAUUCCCCACUGCUGCCUCCCGUAGGAGUCUGGGCCGUGUCUCAGUCCCAGUGUGGCUGGUCGUCCUCUCAGACCAGCUACAGAUCGUCGGCUUGGUAAGCUUUUAUCCCACCAACUACCUAAUCUGCCAUCGGCCGCUCCAAUCGCGCGAGGCCCGAAGGUCCCCCGCUUUCAUCCUCAGAUCGUAUGCGGUAUUAGCUACUCUUUCGAGUAGUUAUCCCCCACGACUGGGCACGUUCCGAUGUAUUACUCACCCGUUCGCCACUCGUCAGCGUCCGAAGACCUGUUACCGUUCGACUUGCAUGUGUAAGGCAUGCCGCCAGCGUUCAAUCUGAGCCAGGAU
rnacentral:rRNA from 1 species